rnacentral:lncRNA from 1 species
GCCUGUUUCAUGAAUCUGUGCUGGGAAGGCCCGAAGGUCAGUGGUGGAAUCUAGAAAGUCUGUGCCAGCAGGAUGAAGGAUCUGUGUUAGCAGGCUGAGGGAUCUGCACUGGAGCCAGGAAGUGAUGCUCAGAAGAACCAGAGCUCCCCCAAAAAGGUACCACAGCUGUCCUCAGCAACAGUGAGCUCCCGAGGUCCUCCAAUGAUCAGGAUGGCCCAGUUCCCAUCAGGGAAGCCAACGCAGCAAGCUUUUCCGGGAGGCCGGCAAUGCACCAUCUUCUCCUCCAGAGCCAGGAGGCGAUGCUCAAAGUGAGGACCAGAGCUCCCCCAAAGUGAACCGAAGCCAUUCUCAGUACCAACAAGGUCCCAAGCUCCUCAGAGGAUGAAAACAGCCAAGUUCAUCUGGAAAGCCAGCAUGAUGAGCUCCUCCAAAACAACCAACAGCUCCCCACAGCUUCUACUGGCUCCCAACAGCUUCUCGGCUCCCAGCAACCUCCUUCUUCUUCUCUAGGUCUGCCUCUUAUCCUGCUGGCAACAGUCCUCAGGUAUGUGCACUGCCAACUGCACCGGGGAGACACCAAGAUCCGAAGUACGUCAACCCAGAAACAGUGCAGACCCAUUUGCAUUUCUUGUGAACUCGGGAUCGCUCCCUCUGUCACUGGGUAAGUCUGUGGAUAUCUCCCGGAGGCUGGUUUCAGCUGUGCCUGGCUCCAGAUGGGGAGCCCUCAGCGAGUCUUCCUGGGCCUUGCAGGACCAGCCUUUUGGUUCUCUACAGCUGCCCCUUCCGCUUCACCCGCUUAUGUCGGGUGGGGCUGAGACACUGCCACGCUUCAACUGCAGUGGACUUUGGCCACUGUGCGUCCAGUGGCAUCCUGUGUGGCUAACGGGAGUGUGCGCGGAAGUAACCCGAGUGGCUGUUCUCUCGUGCACGCUGACGGUGAGCAGGAUACAGUCAUGGUUUCUGUGCAGAUGGCUGCCUUGCUGUCUGGAGAGCUCCAGCACCUGA